rnacentral:rRNA from 1 species
CCUGCAGAAGGAUCAUUAGUGAAUACACCGGGGAACCCACUCUGUGGGCCCCAACCCUUCACCAUAUCCUCACACCUGUGCACCGCUGGUAGAUGCCGCUGUACUUCGGUAUGGUUUGCAGCUGCUGGCAACUUAUACACACACACCUGAGUUCUAUGAAUGUUAAUUUUACUUGCCUUCGGGCAGAACUAAAAUACAACUUUUGACAACGGAUCUCUUGGUUCUCCCAUCGAUGAAGAACGCAGCGAAAUGCGAUAAGUAAUGUGAAUUGCAGAAUUCAGUGAAUCAUCGAAUCUUUGAACGCACCUUGCGCUCGUUGGUAUUCCGACGAGCAUGCCUGUUUGAGUGUCAUGAAUUCUCCACCCCCAUGUCUUUUGUCACCAAAGGACGUGCUUGGGGCGGGUCCCUGGGCAUCAUUGCCAGUCUUCGGACAGGCUUGCCUUAAAAGUAUUAGCUGGACUGCAUCUGCGAUGCAUUGGUUCUACUCAACGUGAUAAGUUCAUUCGUUGAGGACGGCUUCACGGCCGGCCAAGCUACAAUGCGAUCAAUAGUCUGCUUCUAACCCGGCGCGGAGUGCCUGCACUCCAACCCAACUUAACGCUCUGGCCUCAAAUCAGGUAGGAUUACCCGCUGAC